UACGUAGGGUGCGAGCGUUGUCCGGAAUUACUGGGCGUAAAGAGCUCGUAGGUGGUUUGUCGCGUUGUUCGUGAAAUUCCCUGGCUUAACUGGGGGCGUGCGGGCGAUACGGGCAGACUGGAGUACUGCAGGGGAGACUGGAAUUCCUGGUGUAGCGGUGGAAUGCGCAGAUAUCAGGAAGAACACCGGUGGCGAAGGCGGCUCUCUGGGCCUUACCUGACGCUGAGGAGCGAAAGCGUGGGUAGCGAACAGG
rnacentral:rRNA from 1 species